UAUGUUUGCUUGAUGUUUUUGUUAUUUCUUAAAUAUUUCAGCAGGAGGAAGCAGGUCUUCAUGAGCUCCAACUGGCAAGCAUCAGCAGCACCAAGGUUCCCUUCAAGCCCGACCAGUCUGAGGAUUUCAGCAGGGCAUGAGGUCAUUACUCAAGAAAAGCCAGUCCUAAAGCAUCUUCCAACAAUGGCCUGAGGAGAGGAGCCUGGUUCUGCUUUGCUGCACAGUCCUUGCUUUCACUCUUCAGCCAAACUUGUAACAGCCCUGGGAGAAGAGUUAAACAAUGAAGCAGCUGUGACAUCUAGUGGCACUUGUGGCUAAUUCAACUCAGACAAAAAUACCCACUCUGAAUAUGACCAUAUGUAUAUUUGACAAUCAAACCUUCAUGCCCAGCCUGCAAUUUCCUCUAUGAUGGAGAAGAAGCCUUGGCUGGGAGGAAUUGGCUGAUUUCUGUGAUGGCCCCAAGGAAGUGCACAGUCCCUAAGCUCCAAAUUCCCACAACCGUCCAACCAGAAGGUAAGCAAAGGAAAGAAAAACAUUUUACCAUUAGUUUUAAGGGAGUAUCAAAAGAAGUUUAAUUUUGUGCUUGCAGCGAAUUCUUUUCAUCUAAAGAUCUAGGAAAGGCAAAAUGUGAGCAGGCAGUGUGAUUUUAUCUUAUGCUCCUGCUGGAGUUCCCAGGUAAGUAAACAUUAACAUGACACUCUAUUCCUUUCGGUUGUUGUUGUUUUUCCUAUCUGAAGGUCGAGCCCUCUGCAGACAUACUGGGCAGAAAGCCCUGUGUUUAACCUCAUGAAGAUCUGCUUACAAACAAGAUCAA